rnacentral:lncRNA from 1 species
CGGCGCCUCGCGCAUCCUGGAGCGGACCCUGAGCAGCCGCAGCCAGGCCGUGGCCAACUACGCGCUGGUGCCCUUCCACGACCCAGAUAUCGGCCCAGUGACGCUCACUGCAGACCCGGUGGUGUUCCAGAAGGAGCUGAGAGAACUCUACGUGCAGGGAGGCGGUGACUGCCCCGAGAUGAGCGUGCAGGCCAUCCAGGCCGCCGUGGAGGUGGCCAACCCCGGCUCCUUCAUCUACGUCUUCUCAGAUGCCCGUGCCAAGGACUACCACAGGAAGGACGAGCUGCUGCGCCUCCUGCAGCUGAAGCAGUCGCAGGUGGUCUUUGUGUUGACCGGGGACUGUGGCAACCGCACCCAUCCGGGAUACCUAGCCUAUGAGGAGAUCGCCUCCACCAGCUCGGGGCAGGUGUUCCACCUGGACAAGCAACAGGUGACAGAGGUGCUGAAGUGGGUGGAGUCGGCAAUCCAGGCUUCCAAGGUGCACCUGCUGUCCACAGACCACGAGGAGGAGGGCGAGCACACGUGGAGAAUCCCUUUCGACCCCAGCCUCAAGGAGGUCACUAUCUCCCUGAGCGGGCCAGGGCCUGAGAUCGAAGUCCGGGAUCCGCUGGGUAUGUGCCACUACUCGGCGGGCCUGAGACUGAGCCGGAAACCGGGAUGGGACAAAGACCCAGAGCUAGGGUGGCAGGGGCUGAGACCCGGGACUCCAGGACUGAUGAGGUGGGGGACACAGUGGAGAAGGGGGGCGGGAGGAAGCAGGAAGGCAGGAAUUAAAAUAGCAGCCUCCCUCUGGUUGGUCCCUGGGGAGCCUGGGGCCAGCAUCUGGUCUGUGGGCUGUGGGCGGGCCCAUGGUGGCCCAGGACUGGGCUGGGGACUGAGUGGGACUUGGGGCUUCUGCAGGGAGGAUCCUCCAGAAGGACAAGGGCCUCAACGUGCUGCUCAACAUUCCCGACUCAGCCAAGGUGGUAGCCUUUAAGCCCAAGCACCCGGGGCUGUGGUCCAUCAAGGUAGGAACCCUGCAUGUGGGGUGGAGCUGGAGCAGCAUCUCCAUCCCACCUCCCUGGGGGCUUGGCGAGUGGCAGGGAUGUUGGCAUAGCAACCCAAGUCAAGGUCCAAGGACAGAGGAGAGUUCUGCUUGCCGAGGAAGUAGAGUGGUUUGGGGCCAGUUUGGGGGCAAUGGAGAACUUGGAGAAACCACCUCAGUGUUCCAAGGGCUGUCCAAGCUGGCUAGGGCUCGAACCUG